GAUGAAGAACGCAGCGAAAUGCGAUACUUGGUGUGAAUUGCAGAAUUCAGUGAAUCAUCGAAUCUUUGAACGCACAUUGCGCCCCGUGGUAUUCCGCGGGGCAUGCCUGUUCGAGCGUCAUUACACCACUCAAGCCUCGCUUGGUAUUGGGCGACGCGGUACGCCGCGCGCCUCAAAUCUUCCGGCUGGUUCGAAUCGUCCCUCAGCGUUGUGGAAACUAUUCGCUAAAGGUGCGCGUUUCGGUCACGCCGUUAAACAAGCCAAUUUCAUUAAAGGUUGACCUCGGAUCAGGUAGGGAUACCCGCUGAACUUAAGCAUAUCAAUAAGCGGAGGA
rnacentral:misc_RNA from 1 species